ACGUCUGGUUCAGGGUUGUUAACGAUUUCACUACAAUGUGGCUAAUUAUAACAUUGUUUGUCAAAUGGUAUUCAUCCUUUUCACAAAGGAUACAUCCCAUUUUAGAUCAACAGAUCAAUUUAUGCAACGUGAUAUCAAUGUUGUGUAAAAGAACAUUAAUAUUUCAGAAUGAUAUGAAUAUAUUGCCUAUACUAUUUAAGUAUACUCAAGGAAAUAAAUUUGAGUUAAAUUUAAAUAGGGACAUGAAUGGCAAUAAUUUCAUUUAUCAUCUCUAUAAUGCAACCUGAACUCAGGCGUGAUUACCCGCUGAACUUAAGCAUAUCAUUUAGGCGAGGAAAAGAAACUAA
rnacentral:rRNA from 1 species